AGGGCCAGACGAUCAAGUUUCCGUGGUCGAGCAUCACGCAAUGGGACGUGGACGAGCAGGCGGAGGCGUUCUGUUUCCAGUACAGCCGUCAGGACCACACAGCCCGCUGGGUCAAAGUGUUUACUCCGCACUACCUGUUUCUGUACGAGGUUUUCGAGAGGAUCCAGGACGAGCGGCUGGCGCCAGAGCAGCCCGGCCAGCCCAGCGAGCCGUGAGGGCGCCGAGCCGCGGCCCGCCACCGUCCCGGCAGCCAGGCGGCCCGCCGCAGCCAGCCGCCGCGUAGCCCACGAUAUAUUGUACCUAAUGUUCUAUAUACGGCCGUAGCCUGGCCGCGCCGCGCGGCCUCUCGGAACUGAGCGGCAUUGUUAGUCCUUCAAGGUGCGUGCGGUUGCGGUGCACUGCGCGCGCGCGCGCGCUGUGGCCGGCCUGCACAGCCCCAGCCGGCCAUUGUUACGGGAUCGACGGCCGAACGGUCGGCUGCGAUCGUGUGUGGUGCGAUGUUUGACAUCUGUGUACCUUAUUUCGAACGUUGAUCGACUCUAUUAUUGACCAGUGAACUUGUUUAAUUUGCCAAUGAUGUAUUCCGGAUGUUUUUGGUGGUCGUUUUUCAUGUCUUUCUGUUGCCGGCCGACUCCAGGGGGGCGCUGAGUAUGUGACGUAUGACGCAGGUGACGUAUUGUGUGACGUGUGACGCAGGUGACGUGUGACGGUGACACUACUGCGGUGACACGGUCACCCUGGCCCGUCCCGGUCGGUGCCGGGGUUGAGUCUGCCGGGGGCCGGUUCUGCCGGGGCCGGGUCUGGUCUGCCGAGACUGUGGCGGAGGUCGGCGCCAUUACAUAUCAGCCGAGCGGACCUGACCACAGACGGAAAGACGGAGAGACAGACAGACAGACAAACAGACAGACAGACAGACAGACAGACAGACAGACAGACAGGGGCAGGCCCAGCGGGGCAGUCGGGUGCUGUUCCCGAUAGUUUGAGCCGCAGGUUCACAGGAGACGGACAACGAACACUGGCCGCCGCGCCGGGCCGCCCGCUGUGGGCGACGCCGGCCGUGCCGCCGGGGCCGCGCGCCGGCCGGAUGGGUGUGGCGGCGCGCGGCUCGGCGCCCCACCACGGCACGCCGUAUGCACGGCGUAAGGACGUCCCUGUGUGCGCGAGUGCGGGACUUGUAUCCGAUCGCGUUAUGCAUGCUUAUACAUAGAAAAUAUACGCACGAUAGACGAG